AUUGAACGCUGGCGGCAUGCUUUACACAUGCAAGUCGAACGGCAGCGCGGGCUUCGGCCUGGCGGCGAGUGGCGAACGGGUGAGUAAUGCAUCGGAACGUGCCCAGUAGUGGGGGAUAGCCCGGCGAAAGCCGGAUUAAUACCGCAUACGACCUGAGGAUGAAAGCGGGGGACCGAAAGGCCUCGCGCUAUUUGAGCGGCCGAUGUCGGAUUAGCUAGUUGGUGGGGUAAAGGCUUACCAAGGCGACGAUCCGUAGCUGGUCUGAGAGGACGACCAGCCACACUGGGACUGAGACACGGCCCAGACUCCUACGGGAGGCAGCAGUGGGGAAUUUUGGACAAUGGGGGCAACCCUGAUCCAGCCAUGCCGCGUGCGGGAAGAAGGCCUUCGGGUUGUAAACCGCUUUUGUUCGGGAAGAAAUACUCUGGGCUAAUACCCCGGGGGGAUGACGGUACCGGAAGAAUAAGCACCGGCUAACUACGUG
rnacentral:rRNA from 1 species